GGCGUGGCCACGUCCCUCUGCGCGCUCCGCGGCGGCCGGGGAGAAGUGCGCGGAACCGGUCGGAACCAUCUGUGGUCUAGGCAGGGGAUGAGGAAUGUACCAUCUGAGGCCCAGGCCGCGCAGGGCGUCAGGCGCAGACUAUCCGCGCGCGGUUAGACGCUCUUUGGGUGCAGACUCCCGCCCUUCCCGCCGCCUUGUUGCCGGAGUUCUGCCGCCCAGCAGGACAACAGUGGAUCUCUCGUGGAGUGCAGAAGAGGAAACCAGCACCUCCUGCAUCGUAAGGCCUCUGAGCCAAGAAGAAUGAAUUGCAGUGAGGCUCUGAGGACCCUCAGUUCUCCAUUCCCAAGCCUCACAUUUUCUCAAGAAAGCAAUUCCAACAAUGAAGUCCUAAAGAGAUCAGGUGCAAGAGGCCAGAAGUCCAGUCUCAAGAUGUGCCACAUUCCCUAGAGACUGUGAGGCAGAAUUUGGCAUUACCUAGCUUCUGGUAGCUUGUUGACCAUCUCUGAUGUCCCUUUGUUUGUAGAAGUAUCACCACAAUCUUACCCUGUGCAGUCACACAGUCCUCUCCCUGCACCUGUGUCUGUGUGUCCCAUAAAUAUGUAUCAAUUUUUGUCAUGUUGGAUUAGAGCCCAACCUAAAACCUCAUUUUAACUUGGUAAAUUUAAAAAUCUACAAGUGAGGACACAUUCUCAGGUACCACGGAUUAGGACAUCAACCUAUGAAUUUGGGGGGGGACAUAAUUUGUGAAAUUGUGAUUCAUAGUAAAAAAUAUACACUUUGAUCUUUGUCUUUGGUGACUGGCACCGAACUCCUUAAAAUCCUUGCUAUUUCCUGAGCAAUAGGGGUGCUGGUAACAUCUUUUGUCUUAAUAUUUGUCCUUUGACCCUUGUUCAGUCCAGAGUGCCUAAUCCCUGGGAGUUUCCAGAGUGACAGGAUCAUCUUUUGUCCCAGUGAGGUGGUUCCUGGUGGGCUCCUGGAUGGGGGCUGGCCACAACCCAAGUUGUACCCUUCAUAAAAGUGGGUAAACAUGAGGACAGUG